CCUACGGGAGGCAGCAGUGGGGAAUAUUGGACAAUGGGCGAAAGCCUGAUCCAGCAAUGCCGCGUGAGUGAUGAAGGCCUUCGGGUCGUAAAGCUCUUUUACCAGGGAUGAUAAUGACAGUACCUGGAGAAUAAGCUCCGGCUAACUCCGUGCCAGCAGCCGCGGUAAUACGGAGGGAGCUAGCGUUGUUCGGAAUUACUGGGCGUAAAGAGUACGUAGGCGGUUAUUCAAGUCAGAGGUGAAAGCCCGGGGCUCAACCCCGGAACUGCCUUUGAAACUAGAUAACUAGAGUCUUGGAGAGGUUAGUGGAAUUCCGAGUGUAGAGGUGAAAUUCGUAGAUAUUCGGAAGAACACCAGUGGCGAAGGCGACUAACUGGACAAGUACUGACGCUGAGGUACGAAAGCGUGGGGAGCAAACAGGAUUAGAUACCCUGGUAGUCCACGCCGUAAACGAUGAUAACUAGUUGUUCGGCCACUUGGUGACUGAGUGACGCAGCUAACGCAUUAAGUUAUCCGCCUGGGGAGUACGGUCGCAAGNUUAAAACUCAAAGGAAUUGACGG
rnacentral:rRNA from 1 species